CAGUGCCGGAUUAACCAUAUGGCAGAAGCGGCAUAUGCCACGGGCCCCGCGCAUUUGGGGGCCCCGCGCUUCUCUCUUCUAUUUCUUUUUCUGAAUUUUUUGUUCCCUGUUUCAGCGCGGGGCCCAAACUGUGCGCUCGAAAGAGCCCAAGUCCCCCAGAAAACUCGAGGACGCAAAAAUCGACCCCAAACGGUUUUCUUUUUGUUCCCUGUUUUAGUGUUUCAGCGCGGGGCCCCAAAGAGCCCAAGGUCCCCAGAAAACGUUAUAGGCCCAAACGUUAUAGGCCAAAAUUUAAAAAUAGAGGACCCAAAGUGAGGGGCCCCAAACGAUUUUUUUGUUCUCUUUUUUAGCGCGGGGCCCUAAAGAGUCCAAGGCCCCGAAAAGCGAAACACCAAACUAAAAAAACCGCGAGGCCCCAAAGUUAAAAUUAAAAAGGCGAGGCUCCAAAAGCAGGCCUGCAAACACAAAAUUUUUUAUUCCUUCUUUGGGCAAGGGGCUCCAAAAAGCGAUCGCAAGGCCAGAAAAUCAUAGGGUUCAGAAAAUUUCAAAAUUUGCAGCGAACUGUUACAUACUAAAAGAUCGUUGAAAUUCGUGGAAGACGGCAGAAGCCUUAUAUGGACGCUAUCAUGUUUAGCUAUUUUUCCCCUGU